rnacentral:rRNA from 1 species
UCGAUUAGAGUUUGAUCAUGGCUCAGGAUUAACGCUAGCGGUAUGCAUAAUACAUGCAAGUCGAGCGCCCCGCAAGGGGAGCGGCAAACGGGUGCGUAAUACAUAUUUAAUCUGCCCAUAAGAGGGGAAUAACUAGUUGAAAGAUUAGCUAAUACCCCAUAGGAAAUUUUUUCUUCGGAAGAAAUUUUUAAAGUUGCGUUUGCAACACUUUUGGACGAGAGUAUGUCUUAUCAGAUAGUUGGUGAGGUAAUGGCUCACCAAGUCAAUGACGAGUAGCUAUGCUGAGAGGUAGAAUAGCCACAAUGGGACUGAGAUACGGCCCAUACUCCUACGGGAGGCAGCAGUAGGGAAUUUUUCACAAUGGGCGAAAGCCUGAUGGAGCAGUACCGCGUGGAUGAUGAAGGCCUUUGGGUUGUAAAAUCCUUUUAUAUGAGAAGAAUUGUGUUAAUAGGAAAUGAUUAAUAAAUGACUGUAUCAUAUGAAUAAGUAACGACAAACUUCGUGCCAGCAGUCGCGGUAAUACGAAGGUUGCAAGCGUUAUCCAGAUUAACUGGGUGUAAAGGGAUGCGUAGGCUGAUAAUUAAGCUAGGUGUUAAAUAUUAUUGCUCAAAAAUAGUAUGCAUUUAGUACUGAUUAUCUAGAGUUGGAUAGAGUGUUUUAGAACUCCAUGUGGAGCGGUGGAAUGCGUAGAUAUAUGGAAGAAUACCAGAAGGCGAAAGCGAAAACAUAGGUCCAAACUGACGCUUAGGCUCGAAAGUGUGGGGAGCAAAGAGGAUUAGAUACCCUUGUAGUCCACACCGUAAACGAUGAUCAUUAGAUAUUUUGCCUCUAUGAGGUGAGUGUCGUAGCUAACGCGUUAAAUGAUCCACCUGAGUAGUACAUUCGCAAGAAUGAAACUCAAACCGGAAUUGACGGGGACCUGCACAAAUGGUGGAGCAUGUUGUUUAAUUCGACAGUACACGCUGAACCUUACCAAGACUUGACAUCCGCAGCAAAGCUACAGAAAUGUAGUGGAGGCUAACUGCGAGACAGGUGAUGCAUGGUUGUCGUCAGUUCGUGUUCGUGAGAUGUUGGGUUUAUUCCCGCAAUGAACGCAACCCCUGCGGCUAGUUAAUUUUCUAGCUGGACUGCCCGUGUAAACGGAAGGAAGGUGGGGACGACGUCAAAUCAUCAUGUCCCUUAUGUUUUGGGCUACAAACGUGCUACAAUGGUUGAUACAAAGUGUUGCAAAACCGUAAGGUAGAGCUAAUCACAAAAAGUCAAUCUCAGUUCGGAUUGAGGGCUGCAAUUCGCCCUCAUGAAGUUGGAAUCAUUAGUAAUCACGAAUCAGACAUGUCGUGGUGAAUACGUUCUCAGGUCUUGUACACACCGCCCGUCGCACUAUGAGAGCCGCUAAUACUUAAAACCGUUUAUCUAACUGUUAAAGAGGAAGACGUCUAGGGUAGGAGUGGUGAUUGGAGUUAAGUCGUAACAAGGUAACCGUAA